rnacentral:lncRNA from 1 species
ACAGAAGUCAUCUAGACCUCACCUCCCUCCUUGACCAUCCCACUUCCAUCCCACAGUGGUUGAUAAGUAUAAAAUGUUUAGUUUAGCAAAUAGAAGAGGAAGAUGGGUUUGGGGGUUGGGAGAGCUGUGGAGGGGAGAGGGGAAAAGGGCAAAGCAUCUGUUCCCUUUCUGACCUCCUUCUAGAAAGACGGUGGAAGCAGGUUGCAGAACCUCUGUGAGUUGUUUUGUUUACAUGUGAAAUUAGCUGAGGAAAUAGUCAAAGAGACUCUCAGAGGCUCUAGGCACAAGCCCAGCUAUUUGGGGCUGAGCCAGGGAAGGACAUUCUCCUCUCUGCACCACAGAGGCCAAAUGGAGGCUUCCCAAGGACCAGACUCUUUGGGAACACUAAGAGGCAACACCCUUGGCAUGUGCUGUGUUCUCAUGAUGGACAGUGACCCUGGAAAAGUUUCAGCCUCGGCAAAGCCUCAGCAAGUGGCCCUGCAAGCAGAAGCUGGACAUGUGGGAGCUGGGGCAGAAGCAAAAUAACAGGGCAGAAGACGAUGGCAACUGUGAAAGAACGACUGUCUCCUGCUGCUGCCACCCAUUGGCUGUGCCCCCACCUGGAAACCAGCUAUCAAGGGAGCCUGGGGCAAUAAGUGGCAGGAAUUAGAGACUCCUGG